rnacentral:tRNA from 1 species
AGAAAUAUAUCCUUAAAGCCGCUAACUUUAACAAUUAAUUAACAAAUAAAUAUUUCUA